rnacentral:rRNA from 1 species
CUACGGGGUGCUGCAGUGGGGAAUAUUGGACAAUGGGGGAAACCCUGAUCCAGCAAUGCCGCGUGUGUGAAGAAGGCCUGCGGGUUGUAAAGCACUUUCGGUUGGGAGGACUGCUUCUAGCACUAAUAUUGUUGGAAGUUGACGUUACCUUCAGAAGAAGCACCGGCUAACUCAGUGCCAGCAGCCGCGGUAAUACUGAGGGUGCAAGCGUUAAUCGGAAUUACUGGGCGUAAAGCGCGCGUAGGUAGUUAGAUCAGUUGGGUGUGAAAGCCCCGGGCUUAACCUGGGAACUGCAUCCGAUACUGUCUAGCUUGAGUACAGGAGAGGAGAGUGGAAUUCCACAUGUAGCGGUGAAAUGCGUAGAUAUGUGGAGGAACACCAAUGGCGAAGGCAGCUCUCUGGCCUGAUACUGACGCUGAGGUGCGAAAGCGUGGGGAGUAAACAGGAUUAGAUACCCGCGUAGUC